rnacentral:rRNA from 1 species
UACAGAGGGUGCGAGCGUUAAUCGGAAUUACUGGGCGUAAAGCGCGCGUAGGCGGCUUUGCAAGUCGGGUGUGAAAUGCCGGGGCUCAACCCCGGGACUGCGUCCGAUACUUCCGAGCUGGAGGUAGGUAGGGGAGAUCGGAAUUCCUGGUGUAGCGGUGAAAUGCGCAGAUAUCAGGAGGAACACCGGUGGCGAAGGCGGAUCUCUGGGCCUUACCUGACGCUGAGGAGCGAAAGCAUGGGGAGCAAACAGG